rnacentral:tRNA from 1 species
CAAAAUGUAGCUAAAUUAGUAAAGCACCUCCCUUACACUGAGGUAAAGCCCAUGCAACUUGGGCCAUUUUGA